AACGAACGCUGGCGGCAGGCUUAACACAUGCAAGUCGAGCGCCCCGCAAGGGGAGCGGCAGACGGGUGAGUAACGCGUGGGAAUCUACCCAUCCCUACGGAAUAGCUCCGGGAAACUGGAAUUAAUACCGUAUACGCCCUACGGGGGAAAGAUUUAUCGGGGAUGGAUGAGCCCGCGUUGGAUUAGCUAGUUGGUGGGGUAAAGGCCUACCGAGGCGACGAUCCAUAGCUGGUCUGAGAGGAUGAUCAGCCACAUUGGGACUGAGACACGGCCCAAACUCCUACGGGAGGCAGCAGUGGGGAAUAUUGGACAAUGGGGGCAACCCUGAUCCAGCCAUGCCGCGUGAGUGAUGAAGGCCUUAGGGUUGUAAAGCUCUUUCACCGGGGAAGAUAAUGACGGUACCCGGAGAAGAAGCCCCGGCUAACUUCGUGCCAGCCGCCGCGGUAA
rnacentral:rRNA from 1 species